rnacentral:rRNA from 1 species
AGAGUUUGAUCCUGGCUCAGAUUGAACGCUGGCGGAAUGCUUUACACAUGCAAGUCGAACGGCAGCACGGGGGCAACCCUGGUGGCGAGUGGCGAACGGGUGAGUAAUACAUCGGAACGUGCCCAGUCGUGGGGGAUAACGUAGCGAAAGCUACGCUAAUACCGCAUACGAACUCUGGUUGAAAGCGGGGGAUCGCAAGACCUCGCGCGAUUGGAGCGGCCGAUGGCAGAUUAGGUAGUUGGUGGGGUAAAGGCUCACCAAGCCCACGAUCUGUAGCUGGUCUGAGAGGACGACCAGCCACACUGGGACUGAGACACGGCCCAGACUCCUACGGGAGGCAGCAGUGGGGAAUUUUGGACAAUGGGCGCAAGCCUGAUCCAGCCAUUCCGCGUGCAGGAUGAAGGCCCUCGGGUUGUAAACUGCUUUUGUACGGAACGAAAAGGCCUGGGUUCAUACCUCGGGCUCAUGAC